UCCAACCUUUGAAGAUUGCUAGUUACAUUUUCUCUUUGCGCGCAUUCGAGCAGGCUAGAUGACUCAAUGGUGUUCUAUUAUGUUUGGCGAACAUGUGUUUCAACUCCACGAGCGCAUUCAACUUUAGCUUGGAGAGAAAUGAAUUUGUCGAUGCAUAGCCGACCUCAAUGCCAGAUGACUCAAUUCUUGACAGGUCUUGGGUGCGCUCAGGCCUGGGAUUGUUUGAAUCUGGUUUGAGUGAGGUUGUUGUUAUGUUUGGCAUCUCACGAAGUUGGGAGAAUUCUGCACAACGGCUCGAGAAGAUUGAGUAUUUUCUUCUUGAUGCUUAAGCCAAGGAGAAUGAAGCCAUCGUCCGAAUUGCUUUGAUCAAGGAAGUGCUUGCUAUGAUAGAGAGGUGGAAGACAGAGAUGACGU
rnacentral:lncRNA from 1 species